UAUAUAGAUAUUUGGAGGAAUACGAUAUUUACAUGAUUAUGUAUUUGUGAAUAAAAUUGAGUAUUUGGCCUAAGGUCACUUACCGGUGGGGCCAACGCACCCGCUGUCUAUGACAGGGAGGCCCCACGCGAUAAUUAAAAUAAAAAUAAAAAUAAUGUUUUUAUUAAAUAAAUAAAUAGAUAUAUUAGUUAAAUUAAUUAAUUGGAUAAUUAGAAUAAUGAGAGUAUCACGCGUGGGUCCCCCACUAAAUUAAUCUCAUUAAUUAAUAUUUAAUCUUAAUUAAAACUUGUGCCUAUGACGUUCGGGACCCGCUGGUCAGUUGACCAGUCAAAUAUUGAUGUCAGCAUGACAUCAUGCUGAUGUCAUAAUAGAUUUUUAUUAAAUUAUUUAAAUCUGUUUUUAAUUCCUAAUUAUUGAAUAAAACUUUAAAAAUUAAUAUUAAAUAAUCCGUAAGUCAGAUCAAAAUAUUUUCAACAUGAAAGUUGAUCAGCAGAACGAGACGAACCCGGAUACACGGCCCGUUCGUCUGUCACGCGUCCUUAGCAUAGCAAAUGUGGAACCUUUCCAUCGUUUCCAGUAUAACCGGUAGUAGCCCGAGACCCGGAAAAUAUCAUCAGAUAUUCUUCCGACCCGUCUAUGACGGAUGUUGUUGCGUUAGCUCAUGUCUAGCCUGCAUCUUGCCAUGUCAUGCUUUGUGUUGCAUCGGUGUUCUUAUUUAUUGUUUAUUCCCCCUCUUCUUACCGGUAGACCCCGAUACUGACGCUGCUGCCGGGUACAUCAACGACCCUGCCGAUCAGUCCUUUGCCGCAGAGGAGCAAGGCAAGCAAUCCCCCUUGAUCAUUCCUAUAUCGCCUAUGUCUUUCUUCCUACUGCUUGCAUUAGUAUUUUGCUACUGUUGUAGUUAGCUCCCAUAUCUGAUGCAUAGCCUACUUUUGAUGAACUGUUACUUUCAGUCCUGUACUUUAAAUAUGCUUAGUAUAGGUGGAGCAGUCAUCCCCACUGACCCCGUAGUUCAGUUGCCCCGCUUGUUUUCAAAUCUCGAUCUCUGAUCGACGAGCCAGACCCGACACAGCACAUACACGCCCUUCGUUGUACGACGCUAUAGGGAUACUAUCGGGUACCGAGGGUGACACCUCGCUAAGUACUCCUGAUGAUAUCUCUAUAGUAUAGCUAGUCGGUCGUGGUUAUCGAGGGUGAUUCCUCUUUCACCAUUCCCGAUGACGCCUUUGUUGUGCAACCCCGCAAGUGUGGGACCCCCGAGGGUGAUUCCUCUAAGCCCACCUUGACGGGUACAUCGUUCGGAAUCCAACGAGGGUGAUACCUCGGAUUCCCCCCGAUGUUACAACCACACAGUUACUCGACCAUGUUACUGGGAUCAUUGGUGAUUAGUUGUAAGACGGGUGGAUUCCCGUGAGACUGUGUUGAUGGCCUAAUUAAAAUGUUAAUGGAUUUGGGUAUUUGAUCUGGGUUGGUCGGAGACUUUUUCGCACUAACCGGCUACGCGGGAAGAAUUAUGGGUACUCGGCGUCGCGGUAUCAGCCGAAGCUUUUCAGAUGCCAGCAAUGUAGCGGCGCGCGCCCGAGUGGUCCCGAGAUGCAUCGCGCUUGUGAUUAAGGGAUGCUAGGACUGACGUCGGCCGCCCACGCCACGUGCAGGAGCGCGAAGGGGAACUGGGCCCCCGAACCCUUUGUGCUUAGGAGUUAGACCGGCGGGCUGGCCUCUCUGAUUAGUCUUAGGUGGGGCUGCGACGUGUCGAUAUUCCGAGGCCGGGCAGGACCCAGAAAAGUAUGUCCGGCCAGAGUGUUAUCGAGCGUGACGGGACAUGUGGUGCACCCUUGCAGGGAUGAAAAUUAACUAUUCGGAUGGUCGUGCCCACGGUUACAGGACGACUUGGAGUUGUGCCCCGAUCUUAUACAACUACAAUUGGUACUUAACUGGAAUUAGUUUGCCUCGGGAUUGCUUCCUCGCAGGGAGUCGAGGGACGAUCUUUAGGCGUGACCUCACUUUAAUUUUGCUGCAACAAUAUGACUAGUAAUGUUUUACCCCUGUUCUACUCUCGUCUAUUGCUGCAAGACCCUGAAGAUGCUAGUCUUCCAUAGGACUAGGCCUUCUCUCUCUAUUCUGGCAUUGCUGCAGUCAGUCGACAUAUAACCCCCCCUUUCUUUGAUACUGAUGCAUAAUUAGAAUAGUUCUGAUGUAAGACUUGUGAGUACUUUGGAUGAGUACUCACCGCUGCUUUGCUCCCCCUUGUCCCCUCGAUCCGUUGUUGUGACCAGAUGAUGGAGCCCAGGAAAUGGAGGUCCCCGCCACCGACGACUGCUACCCCGACGGUGCCUACUACUACAUGGAGGCCGCUGAUGAUCAGGAGUAGUUAGGAGGUUCCCAGGCAGGAGGCCUCGCCUCGUUCGAUCGUUGUAUCUUUUGUGCUAGCCUUCUCUGAGGCACCCCAUCUUUUAUGUCUGUACUCAGAUAUUGUUGCUUCCGCUGACUCGUGUGUUUAUCGAGCUUUCGUAUUCUAGCCCUCGAGGCCCCUGGCUUGUAAUAUGAAGCUGAUGUUAUUUUAUUUGUGUCUAGAGUUGUGUUGUGAUAUCUUCCCGUGAGUCCUUGGGUUUGGUCGUACGCAUUUGCGUGUUUGGUUAGCGUACGAUUAAAUCGAGGGCGUCACACUCAAUCCCCUUGCCCAUUCUCCCGAUCCCUGCGACGGAGGAGAGCUCCCUCGAUCCCCGACGCCUCCGAGCGCCUCCAGGAGCGAGGGAGGAGAGCCCCACCUCAUGCCGAUGGCCAGCGACCGACUGACGAGCAGAAUCAACACCAGAACCACAACCGCACCUCACCGCUUCCUUCUAUCUCCAUCCAGCCUCGAAUCUCCUUCUUCCAAGAAGCACCACCAUAGCACCGCAUCGUUCCAUUCUCUCUCCCUCCGGUGUCCCAUGUCAUUCCUCCCGACGCCUUCCUUCCAGAUCCGGUGCCGCAAGCCCCUGCCAGGCCGCCGUCAGUCUCGUCUUCCCCGACCUUUCCCGCUCGCCCGCCUCUCUGC
rnacentral:lncRNA from 1 species